CUGAUUGGUUGCUAUGGGCAACUUAGCAACUAUUCCUCUGGGCAGGUUUUGAUAACUCUCCCCCUAUGCGGAGCCUCUUUCAAAAUUUUGCUGACUACCCCUGGAAACAGACCAAUACUAUUUGACUCCUCCCCGUUGACAGACAUGUGACCUAACUGCCAUAAUAUAACUGUCACCUGAGCUCCCACAAUGCACUGCCUUUGACAGGAAGACAGCCAGGGGCGUAACUUGCAAUAGGCCCCCAUGUGCCAAUUAUGACACUGGUCUUUUAUGGGGCAGAUGUGCUUUAGGGCCCCCUUAGGCACCAAGGCCCCAGGUGCGACUGCUACCUCUGCACCCCCUAUAGUUACGCCCCCAAAGCCAACAGAAUUCUGAAUUUAGCUUCACACAGAAGUGAAGAAGAAAACAUUACAGAACUCAACUCAAACAGGUUUGAGAAACACCUAAGGAGACGUCCUAUCAAGGCUGUGCUACUUCAAGUGCCUGUCCGACUAACCAAAAACUGCCAUUGAAUGAAAAAAAUGGUGUUGGGAUUAGCUGUACUAAAGCCCCCCGGCAUGGAAGUGAAGAGGGUGAUCACUCUCCUGGUACCAACUCAACAGUUGGGCCUACAUCACCAAAAAGUAGCAGCAGAGGUCCAAGAUGAAGGCAGAAUUGACACAUCUAAGUGUAAUACAAAAUAUUUGGGGAGAUGAUUUUUGGUCUCAAUAAAGAUAACUGCUAUCGCUAGCUCUUCUGUGUGUAACCUAUGGUUUUGGGGGGUCCUUCCCUCUGCCUUUUGAAAAUCCAAUCCAAG